UACGGGGGGGGGCAAGCGUUGUUCGGAAUUACUGGGCGUAAAGCGCGCGUAGGUGGCUUUUCAAGUCAGGCGUGAAAGCCCCAGGCUUAACCUGGGAACUGCGUUUGAUACUGUUAAGCUAGAGUGUGGAAGGGGCUACUGGAAUUCCGUGUGUAGCGGUGAAAUGCGUAGAGAUGUGGAGGAACACCGAUGGCGAAGGCAGCCCCCCUGGGGUAACACUGACGCUCAUGCACGAAAGCGUGGGGAGCAAACAGG
rnacentral:rRNA from 1 species